GCGCUCUGACAAGAUCGUUAUUUUCAGCCUUGGAUAUGGCCAGCGCCUUGACAAUGUCGUUAUUUUCAUCCUUGGAAAUGUCCAGCGCUCUGACAAGAUCGUUAUUUUCAUCCUUGGAUAUGGCCAGCGCUUUGAUAAGGUCGUUAUUUUCAUCCUUGGAAAUAUCCAGCGCUCUGACAAGAUCGGUAUUUUCAGCCUUGGAUAUGGCCAGCGCUCUGACAAGAUCGUUAUUUUCAUCCUUGGAAAUGUCCAGCGCUCUGACAAGAUCGUUAUUUUCAUCCUUGGAAAUGUCCAACGCUCUGACAAGAUCGUUAUUUUCAGCCUUGGAGAUUUCCAGCGCUUUGAUAAGGUCGAUACUUUCAUCCUUGGAAAUGUCCAGCGCUCUGACAAGAUCGUUAUUUUCAGCCUUGGAGAUUUCCAGCGCUUUGAUAAGGUCGAUACUUUCAUCCUUGGAAAUGUCCAGCGCUCUGACAAGAUCGUUAUUUUCAGCCUUGGA